rfam:Myotis brandtii contig274357, whole genome shotgun sequence.
GGCAGUUCUCAGGUGACACACCCCAAAAUUGGAUUCCCUCCUCUCUGGUUCCGGGUGCAUCACCCAAGAACUACA